rnacentral:rRNA from 1 species
CAGCAGUGAGGAAUAUUGGUCAAUGGAGGGAACUCUGAACCAGCCAUCCCGCGUGUAGGAAGACGGCCUUAUGGGUUGUAAACUACUUUUAUACAGGAAGAAACGUACCCUCGUGAGGGUGCCUGACGGUACUGUAGGAAUAAGCACCGGCUAACUCCGUGCCAGCAGCCGCGGUAAUACGGAGGGUGCGAGCGUUAUCCGGAUUUAUUGGGUUUAAAGGGUCCGUAGGCGGAUUAAUAAGUCAGUGGUGAAAUCCCAUCGCUUAACGAUGGAACUGCCAUUGAUACUGUUAGUCUUGAAUGAGGGUGCAGUGGUUGGAAUGUGUAGUGUAGCGGUGAAAUGCAUAGAUAUUACACAGAACACCGAUUGCGAAGGCAGAUCACUAACCCUAAAUUGACGCUGAGGGACGAAAGCGUGGGGAGCGAACAGGAUUAGAUACCCUGGUAG